UUCGCAAUGCCCGAAAGGGUGACGAAGCGACGCCGCGUGUGGGAAGAAGGCCUUCGGGUUGUAAACCACUGUCGGGAGUUAAGAAAUGCAAGGAUAUUAAUAGUGUCUUUGUUUGACUAAGGCUCCGGAGGAAGCCACGGCUAACUCUGUGCCAGCAGCCGCGGUAAUACAGAGGCGGCAAGCGUUGUUCGGAAUUAUUGGGCGUAAAGAGCACGUAGGCGGCUAUGUAAGUCGGUUGUGAAAGCCUUCCGCUCAACGGAAGAACAGCAUCCGAUACUACAUGGCUUGAGUGCGGGAGGGGAGAGUGGAACUUCUGGUGGAGCGGUGAAAUGCGUAGAUAUCAGAAGGAACGCCGGCGGCGAAAGCGGCUCUCUGGCCCAUAACUGACGCUGAGCGUGCGAAAGCUAGGGGAGCAAACGGGAUUAGAUACCCCGGUAGUCCUAGCCGUAAACGAUGGGCACUAAGUAGAGGGGUUUU
rnacentral:rRNA from 1 species